GGGCGCACGGUGGAUGCCUUGACACUAGGAGUCGAUGAAGGACGGGACUAACGCCGAUAUGCUUCGGGGAGCUGUAAGUAAGCUUUAAUCCGAAGAUUUCCGAAUGGGGAAACCCACCAUACGUAAUGGUAUGGUAUCCUUAUCUGAAUACAUAGGGUAAGGAAGACAGACCCAGGGAACUGAAACAUCUAAGUACCUGGAGGAAGAGAAAGCAAAUGCGAUUUCCUGAGUAGCGGCGAGCGAAACGGAACAUAGCCCAAACCAAGAGGCUUGCCUCUUGGGGUUGUAGGACAUUCUAUACGGAGUUACAAAGGAACGAGGUAGACGAAGCGACCUGGAAAGGUCCGUCGUAGAGGGUAACAACCCCGUAGUCGAAACUUCGUUCUCUCUUGAAUGUAUCCUGAGUACGGCGGAACACGUGAAAUUCCGUCGGAAUCUGGGAGGACCAUCUCCCAAGGCUAAAUACUCCCUAGUGAUCGAUAGUGAACCAGUACCGUGAGGGAAAGGUGAAAAGCACCCCGGAAGGGGAGUGAAAGAGAUCCUGAAACCGUGUGCCUACAAAUAGUCAGAGCCCGUUAACGGGUGAUGGCGUGCCUUUUGUAGAAUGAACCGGCGAGUUACGAUCCCGUGCGAGGUUAAGCUGAAGAGGCGGAGCCGCAGCGAAAGCGAGUCUGAAUAGGGCGUUUAGUACGUGGUCGUAGACCCGAAACCAGGUGAUCUACCCAUGUCCAGGGUGAAGUUCAGGUAACACUGAAUGGAGGCCCGAACCCACGCACGUUGAAAAGUGCGGGGAUGAGGUGUGGGUAGCGGAGAAAUUCCAAUCGAACCUGGAGAUAGCUGGUUCUCCCCGAAAUAGCUUUAGGGCUAGCCUUAAGUGUAAGAGUCUUGGAGGUAGAGCACUGAUUGGACUAGGGGUCCUCAUCGGAUUACCGAAUUCAGUCAAACUCCGAAUGCCAAUGACUUAUCCUUAGGAGUCAGACUGCGAGUGAUAAGAUCCGUAGUCAAAAGGGAAACAGCCCAGACCGCCAGCUAAGGUCCCAAAGUGUGUAUUAAGUGGAAAAGGAUGUGGAGUUGCUUAGACAACUAGGAUGUUGGCUUAGAAGCAGCCACCAUUUAAAGAGUGCGUAAUAGCUCACUAGUCGAGUGACUCUGCGCCGAAAAUGUACCGGGGCUAAAUACACCACCGAAGCUGCGGAUUGAUACCAAUGGUAUCAGUGGUAGGGGAGCGUUCUAAGGACAGUGAAGUCAGACCGGAAGGACUGGUGGAGUGCUUAGAAGUGAGAAUGCCGGUAUGAGUAGCGAAAGACGGGUGAGAAUCCCGUCCACCGAAUGCCUAAGGUUUCCUGAGGAAGGCUCGUCCGCUCAGGGUUAGUCAGGACCUAAGCCGAGGCCGACAGGCGUAGGCGAUGGACAACAGGUUGAUAUUCCUGUACCACCUCUUUAUCGUUUGAGCAAUGGAGGGACGCAGAAGGAUAGAAGAAGCGUGCGAUUGGUUGUGCACGUCCAAGCAGUUAGGCUGAUAAGUAGGCAAAUCCGCUUAUCGUGAAGGCUGAGCUGUGAUGGGGAAGCUCCUUAUGGAGCGAAGUCUUUGAUUCCCCGCUGCCAAGAAAAGCUUCUAGCGAGAUAAAAGGUGCCUGUACCGCAAACCGACACAGGUAGGCGAGGAGAGAAUCCUAAGGUGUGCGAGAGAACUCUGGUUAAGGAACUCGGCAAAAUGACCCCGUAACUUCGGGAGAAGGGGUGCUUUCUUAACGGAAAGCCGCAGUGAAUAGGCCCAAGCGACUGUUUAGCAAAAACACAGCUCUCUGCGAAGCCGUAAGGCGAAGUAUAGGGGGUGACACCUGCCCGGUGCUGGAAGGUUAAGGAGAGGGGUUAGCGUAAGCGAAGCUCUGAACUGAAGCCCCAGUAAACGGCGGCCGUAACUAUAACGGUCCUAAGGUAGCGAAAUUCCUUGUCGGGUAAGUUCCGACCCGCACGAAAGGUGUAACGAUUUGGGCACUGUCUCAACCAGAGACUCGGUGAAAUUAUAGUACCUGUGAAGAUGCAGGUUACCCGCGACAGGACGGAAAGACCCCGUGGAGCUUUACUGUAGCCUGAUAUUGAAUUUUGGUACAGUUUGUACAGGAUAGGCGGGAGCCAUUGAAACCGGAGCGCUAGCUUCGGUGGAGGCGCUGGUGGGAUACCGCCCUGACUGUAUUGAAAUUCUAACCUACGGGUCUUAUCGACCCGGGAGACAGUGUCAGGUGGGCAGUUUGACUGGGGCGGUCGCCUCCUAAAGUGUAACGGAGGCGCCCAAAGGUUCCCUCAGAAUGGUUGGAAAUCAUUCGUAGAGUGCAAAGGCAUAAGGGAGCUUGACUGCGAGACCUACAAGUCGAGCAGGGACGAAAGUCGGGCUUAGUGAUCCGGUGGUUCCGCAUGGAAGGGCCAUCGCUCAACGGAUAAAAGCUACCCCGGGGAUAACAGGCUUAUCUCCCCCAAGAGUCCACAUCGACGGGGAGGUUUGGCACCUCGAUGUCGGCUCAUCGCAUCCUGGGGCUGUAGUCGGUCCCAAGGGUUGGGCUGUUCGCCCAUUAAAGCGGUACGCGAGCUGGGUUCAGAACGUCGUGAGACAGUUCGGUCCCUAUCCGUCGUGGGCGUAGGAAAUUUGAGAGGAGCUGUCCUUAGUACGAGAGGACCGGGAUGGACGCACCGCUGGUGUACCAGUUGUUCUGCCAAGGGCAUAGCUGGGUAGCUAUGUGCGGAAGGGAUAAGUGCUGAAAGCAUCUAAGCAUGAAGCCCCCCUCAAGAUGAGAUUUCCCAUAGCGUAAGCUAGUAAGAUCCCUGAAAGAUGAUCAGGUUGAUAGGUUCGAGGUGGAAGCAUGGUGACAUGUGGAGCUGACGAAUACUAAUAGAUCGAGGACUUAACCAU
rnacentral:rRNA from 1 species